GGUUGUGGCUCAGUAGUAGAGUGCUUGCCUGGUAUGUGUGAGGCUUGGGGUUCGAUUCUCAGCACCA
rnacentral:tRNA from 1 species